GAAAAGUCUGUCUGUUAUCUAGGAGUAGCCUCCAUCAACAGAAGAGACAGUGGUGUGCUUUUGACUGGUGAGGCAGGAAUCCUGUGCACAUUCCCAGCCCAGUGUCUGUUCAGUGACAUCAGGAUCCUCCAGGAGAGAUGCUCACACUUUGUAGAAAAUAAUUUGAGUUUAGGGACCUCUGGUGAGAACUUUGUUCCUUACAUGCCCCAAUUUCAAACCUGUUCCACGCACAGUCACAAGAUAAUGGAGAAUAAGAUGUGUGGCUUAACUGUG
rnacentral:lncRNA from 1 species